CAGACGUCGGGUUACGCGCGGCGCGGAGUCGGCCGCCGGGCGGAGGUACCGGCUCCGGCUGUGGCUCGGGCUCGAGCUCUCGGCUGCAGGUUUGGCGGCGCGGCCUCGGCAGGCAGCGAGGCCGGGCGGGCUCUGGGCCCCCGCGCCCCUCCCGCCAGGCCUGCCAUGCAGGGCCCCGCCGGGAACGCGAGCCGCGGACUGCCGGGCGGGCCGCCCUCCACAGUCGCGUCCGGGGCGGGCCGCUGCGAGAGCGGCGCGCUGAUGCACAGCUUCGGCAUCUUCCUGCAGGGGCUGCUUGGCGUCGUGGCCUUCAGCACGUUAAUGCUCAAACGCUUCAGAGAACCAAAGCAUGAAAGACGUCCGUGGAGGAUAUGGUUUUUAGAUACUUCCAAACAAGCCAUAGGAAUGCUGUUCAUCCACUUUGCAAAUGUAUACCUAGCAGAUCUCACUGAAGAGGACCCUUGUUCACUGUACCUCAUCAACUUCCUCCUGGACGCCACCGUGGGCAUGCUGCUCAUCUACGUGGGGGUGCGUGCCGUCAGUGUCCUCGUGGAGUGGCAGCAGUGGGAAUCCUUGCGCUUCGGCGAAUAUGGAGACCCUCUGCAGUGUGGAGCCUGGGUCGGGCAGUGCGCUCUUUACAUCGUGAUCAUGGUUUUUGAAAAAUCUGUCGUCUUCAUCGUCCUCCUAAUACUACAGUGGAAAAAGGUGGCCCUGUUGAAUCCCAUUGAAAACCCAGACUUGAAGCUGGCCAUCGUCAUGCUGAUUGUCCCCUUCUUUGUCAACGCCUUGAUGUUUUGGGUAGUCGACAAUUUCCUCAUGAGAAAGGGGAAGACGAAAGCUAAGCUAGAAGAAAGGGGAGCCAACCAGGACUCGAGGAAUGGGAGCAAGGUCCGCUACCGGAGGGCCGCAUCCCAUGAGGAGUCUGAGUCUGAGGUUUGGACAUCAGGGAAGAACAGUGGUCCUUAGCGGCACCGAGGCCAGGAUAUGUGUUCUGGCGGCCCUGCGGUGCUCACCCCACAUCUGCAUGCAGGGCCAGCUCAUGGAAGGCCUGGGAAGCUCCUGAGGCAGAGAGCACUGUGCAGGUGGAAGCUGCAGAAAAGCUGAGAUGAACAUUUUCCCCGAGAGGCCUAAAGAUGUGCUGGUGAGGUGCAGAUCCUGAUCUCAGCGGAUGACGAGAUGGAGGAGUCCGACGUGGAGGAGGACCUCCGCAGACUGACCCCCCUCAAGCCUGUGAAGAAAAAGAAGCACCGUUUCGGGCUGCCUGUAUGACACAUUCCCAUGCUGAGGGUGACGGGAGGGCCCUGCCAGCUGCCAGUGUGCAGAGGUCAUCCUGCAGCGUCGUUCCUUCCCCCCUCUGCCCUUCCUUUCUACCUCUGCUCCUCUUGCUGUCUCUGCCCGCUCUCGCCUGCCCCAGACUACUACUGUGACUUAAAAAGAGGGAAGAGGAGCCAGUGCCCGAGGGGGCCACGGGUGGCUGGAGGUCCCCAUUCAGUUGCACUACAAACACUGACCAAAUAUGCAAGGAAGGAGUUGUGUUUGUUGUCCCAGACAGUGUUGGGAGCUACCCGAGGCCCUGCCCUGUGUCCAACCAGGUGGCAAGCUAGAAGGAAGCACAGGCACACAGGCCGUGGAUGGGUCCCCUCACCGCGGCUGGGGCAGUGCAACUCGGAACGCCUUCAGGCUAAAAGUGACUCAUUGACCAAGUUGGAACUGGAAUGCUUUCUUACUUGGAAUGGCUUUUGUAACUAUUGAUUUCUGAAGCUGGUUUUACGAGCUGUGACAGUGUUACUGGGUUGGGGGUAUGUUUAUUUCCUACAAAGUACUUAUGGGACUAAUGGGCAAAACAGAGAUUUUUAAGUCUUCCAUAUGCUGUUUGACUUUUAUAUUUUUAAGUUAUAUUUUCAUACUAUUGUAUUUAAAAACUUCUUAAUUCCCAAAGAAAUGGGUUUGUUUGCCUUUCACGGGGUGUGGGCUGGCAGGAGGGAAAGGUUGGGAGUUUUUUAUUUGAAAUAUAGUUUGGUGAUGCCCUGCGAUAAGAUGAGACAGAUGAUUGGGGAGGGAAGGAGGAUGGCCCUUCUCGGGAAUCACAAACCCAGUGCUUCUGUGAAGGUCAGACCCAAGCUUGGCGCUGCUGGUCUCGAUGCAGAUCCAGGAGCUGCAGAGUGUGUGAAACAGGAAGGGCGCUGCCCAGGGCCAAUGAGCUCUAGUGUUCUGCUGGCAGAUUAGAAGGUCUUGGUUAAACUUGACCAAGAAAGGAGCUUAGCUAAGAGAUCUUUGUGUCCAGAGGACUCAAGACUAGCAGACUCCUGUGCAGAAGAGGAGUCUCUGCAGAGCCUCCCAUCAUGGUUUAAAAUGGUCUUGGCCUCUCAGCCCCUGUUGCUGCAGCCUUCAGAGCCAGCCUCUGGACGCAGCGCCAGGAACCUCCUCUUAUGCUACCCUGGUACCUGUCAUUCCAAGUGUCAUCUGUUUUGUAUAGUGUUCUGGAGAACAUCUGCCUCACAAAGUGAUCCUAUUUUCCACACCCUCCAAAGCUGAGGUGGCUAAGGCAGGUAGGGGUGAGAGAGCUCACUCUCUAAACCACAGGCAGGGCAAGGUGCUUCUAGGCCAUGUCCCCUCCCUGUAGCAUGGCCCCUGCUCCUCAGCAUGGCCACAGGCCCCUGUGGCUUUGGGAGUUUGCUGAUUAUUGUGAAAUGGGCUGACCCCAGCAAUUUCCCUGCUGUGCAAGCAGCAAGGUAGGGGUGCUCCUCAUAGUUUGUCAAGCUCAGAGGCAGCCAUGGAUGGUUAGGAACAGGAAGCCACAGUGCUAAGGUGUGAGCUAGAAGGGAGACAGCCUGGAAUUUAAGUGAGACAAGUGCAGAGGAGGCUACUUUACUUAGAACCUUCCCUUUAGACCUGCAUGAAUAUGUGUUCCACUUAAGCACAUUGGAUUUGAAUUGUGGAGAGUGAGCCCAGCUGUUAAACCAGGUACCCGGGGACUACCCUCUGCCUCUCAGAGUCCUGCCUGUCCUGGACUUGGAGGCUAGCAUUAGGAAGGCCUUCUCAGCCCAUCUUCCACCAGGAGUGCAGAGCCAGGGUGCUGAGACUGCAGGGGACUGUAACUGCAGUAGGAGGCAACUUUGCCAGUGUGGGCCUCUUGGCCAGUAGGCCUGGCAGUGCCUGAAAUUGGAGUCCGCCUGGGGUCUUGUGUCGUUUCUGUUCAAAAUGACUCUGUGCUCCCUCCCAUCCCACAGCUAUGGUAGCCGGUAUUUCCCUACCCGCUCUCUAGUGGGAAAGAGUGGCUGGAACCAGGCCAUUCUGAGUCGAAUUUGGGGAGACCAGGACUCAUGUUCCUGGCAGGACAGUCAUUCCCUCAAGGCAUCACUGACUCAGUUCUAAUCCCUCCCCUCCUGUUUCAUUUUGGUUUGAACAACCUGUGCCUGCAGCUGUUUCUUCUGCCUUCCUGGAGCUCAGAAUCAGAGCUUCAUUUUCAGUCUUGAGCUCCUAAUGUUUUCAAACAGGGCAGGGAAUAGGAGAGCCAUAAUCUGUGAAAGCUGUAAAACAAACUCUGGGUUAUGUAGACCUGAGAUCAUCUCAUCUGAAGGCUCGGCCCACUUCCCAGUGAGCAGUGGGUUUGGGGAAUAAAGAGGUAGCUGGUGAGUGAUGGUUUUCCCCUGUAUCCUGAUUUUCAGAAAGGGCUUUAGUCUCUGAGCUGCAGCCAGUGUAGAUGGCUGACCAGGGGACAGGGGUCUAAUAGGGUGUCUGACCAAAGGGCACCUCUUGGUAUGUGGCCUGGACAGUGUGGCAUCUCAUGUUUGGUCUUCCCCUCCUCGUGUGUGUGUGUGUGUGUGUGUGUGUGUACACACAUGUACAUACAUAUAAGUCUGUAUUCCCAGGAGUGCCUCCUGCCAUCAUUGGGGGCUCUUCCGUGGUGCACCAUCCCAUGAGAGCAGAUCAGAGGGCCGUGGUCAGGACUUCCUCCCGAGCUGCCCUCCCUCCCUGGGAUGAGCUUCCUCACCACCUGCUCCAAGGUGCCUUACGAGGUGCAGCUCUUCACCUGGCCACAUGGCAUCCAUCACCGUGCUUGAGAAAUGAUGAGACGUUGGCUGGAUGUUGUGUACUAUCAAUCCAAUGUGUCCAAAUCUGGACCUCAGCCAAGCCAGCUGUGAUGGAACCAUGCAAGCCAAGGUCAUGAACAAAGAGGAAAUAAACUAAUGAGGUAGAACUGCCAUAUCUGAAGGGAAGAGGUGGUUGGUACUGUGAUUUCCUUUUGCUGUCAGAGGGAUGUUGACAAUGGCAAGAGAGGGGAUAUUGGUGAGCCCAGGUGAUGGUGGCUUCUUGGUCCACUUGGCUUUAACACAUGCAAAAGGAGGCUCUGUGGCCUCUCAAGCUUUAACUUGUGCCCUCCCUGGCAACAGGGAGUCAUGGGUUAAUGUUACCUGUCAUGCCUGUUUCUUCAGGGAAAAUAUUAAAAGGUUCAAAUCCAAGCUGUGGCUUCCUCUAGGCAGUGUAAGCCUGGAGGUUGUAGCCCCAAGUUGAUGUUCAAAGGCUGCCUCAGAGCCCUGGAGGGAGCAGCACCCAGCCGGCAGCCCACUCUGCCCUCCAGACUUCAGUUCACUGGCCUUUUCACAGCCAGGCUAAGAUAGGCAGUGCUCGGAACUUCCCGCCAGCCAGAGCAGCUGCCUUGUAGAGUGUGAGGCUGGCUUUUAGAAGUUUCACACGCUUGUAGCUAAGAGUACAGAGCUGUCUGUUUCACUUUGUAAAACUGGCAGCUCUGAGGGGCUUGGCUUUGGUAACGGACUUAUGGUCUAAUUUGCCACAAGCACCUUGAGCUCCCAGGUGGAUGGUUGGUUGGUUGGGUUGUUUUAAAUUUGAUUUUUCUUUUCCUGAAGUUUGUUAGAAGUCAGGCUUAUGCGAGCAAAACCAUGGCCCACUUUAGCUGCCAUCCAGUGGGGGUAUUUAAUCAGUUGUGUUAGGAUUCGUAGAAACAUGUUUUUGAAAUGAAAGGGAAGAUGAAGUACUUACAUUGUAAAAUGGUUUACAAUAAAGUUUGGCAUCUUAUUACAGUUUUUUAAAAAAGAAA